rnacentral:rRNA from 1 species
AGACCGAUAGCGAACAAGUAGAGUGAUCGAAAGAUGAAAAGCACUUUGAAAAGAGGGUUAAACAGCACGUGAAAUUGUUAAAAGGGAAGCGCUUGUGACCAGACUUGCGUCCGGUGAAUCACCCAGCUCUCGCGGCUGGGGCACUUCGCCGGCACAGGCCAGCAUCAGCUUGCCGUCGGGGACAAAAGCUUCAGGAACGUGGCUCCUCUCGGGGAGUGUUAUAGCCUGUUGCAUAAUACCCUUCGGCGGGCUGAGGUACGCGCUCCGCAAGGAUGCUGGCGUAAUGGUCAUCAGCGACCCGUCUUGAAACACGGACCAAG